AGAGUUUGAUCCUGGCUCAGGAUGAACGCUAGCUACAGGCUUAACACAUGCAAGUCGAGGGGCAGCAUGAUUGAAGCUUGCUUCAAUUGAUGGCGACCGGCGCACGGGUGAGUAACACGUAUCCAACCUUCCGUACACUCAGGGAUAGCCUUUCGAAAGAAAGAUUAAUACCUGAUGGUAUCUUAAGCACACAUGUAAUUAAGAUUAAAGAUUUAUCGGUGUACGAUGGGGAUGCGUUCCAUUAGGUAGUAGGCGGGGUAACGGCCCACCUAGCCUACGAUGGAUAGGGGUUCUGAGAGGAAGGUCCCCCACAUUGGAACUGAGACACGGUCCAAACUCCUACGGGAGGCAGCAGUGAGGAAUAUUGGUCAAUGGGCGAGAGCCUGAACCAGCCAAGUAGCGUGAAGGAUGACGGCCCUACGGGUUGUAAACUUCUUUUGUGCGGGAAUAAAGGAACCUACGUGUAGGUUUUUGCAUGUACCGUAACGAAUAAGCAUCGGCUAACUCCGUGCCAGCAGCCGCGGUAAUACGGAGGAUGCGAGCGUUAUCCGGAUUUAUUGGGUUUAAAGGGAGCGUAGACGGGUUUUUAAGUCAGCUGUGAAAGUUUGGGGCUCAACCUUAAAAUUGCAGUUGAAACUGGAGACCUUGAGUACGGUUGAGGCAGGCGGAAUUCGUGGUGUAGCGGUGAAAUGCUUAGAUAUCACGAAGAACCCCGAUUGCGAAGGCAGCCUGCUAAGCCGCCACUGACGUUGAGGCUCGAAAGUGCGGGUAUCAAACAGGAUUAGAUACCCUGGUAGUCCGCACGGUAAACGAUGGAUACUCGCUGUUGGCGAUAGACUGUCAGCGGCCAAGCGAAAGCGUUAAGUAUCCCACCUGGGGAGUACGCCGGCAACGGUGAAACUCAAAGGAAUUGACGGGGGCCCGCACAAGCGGAGGAACAUGUG
rnacentral:rRNA from 1 species